rnacentral:rRNA from 1 species
ACUCCUACGGGAGGCAGCAGUGGGGAAUAUUGGACAAUGGGGGAAACCCUGAUCCAGCCAUGCCGCGUGUGUGAAGAAGGCCUUUUGGUUGUAAAGCACUUUAAGCAGUGAAGAAGACUCCAUGGUUAAUACCCAUGGACGAUGACAUUAGCUGCAGAAUAAGCACCGG